rnacentral:rRNA from 1 species
AUGAACGCUGGCGGCGUGCCUAACACAUGCAAGUCGAACGGAGCCUUCGCAAGGAGGUUCAGUGGCGCACGGGUGAGGAACACGUAGCUGACCUGCCCUCCAGCGGGGGAUAACGUCCCGAAAGGGAUGCUAAGACCGCAUAAGCUCACGGGGACUAGAGACCUGGGAGAAAAACCUUCGGGUACUGGAGGAGGGGGCUGCGGCCCAUCAGGUAGUUGGGGGGGUAACGGCCCACCAAGCCGACGACGGGUCGGGGAUCUGAGAGGAUGAUCCCCCACACUGGGACUGAGACACGGCCCAGACUCCUACGGGAGGCAGCAGUGAGGGAUAUUGCACAAUGGGCGAAAGCCUGAUGCAGCGACGCCGCGUGGGUGAUGAAGGUCUUCGGAUCGUAAAGCCCUUUUCUGUGUGACGAGAACGGACGGUAGCACAGGAAGAAGUCUCGGCUAACUACGU